UGGGGAAUUUUGGACAAUGGGGGAAACCCUGAUCCAGCCAUCCCGCGUGUGCGAUGAAGGCCUUCGGGUUGUAAAGCACUUUUGGCAGGAAAGAAACGUCGCGGGUUAAUACCCCGCGAAACUGACGGUACCUGCAGAAUAAGCACCGGCUAACUACGUGCCAGCAGCCGCGGUAAUACGUAGGGUGCAAGCGUUAAUCGGAAUUACUGGGCGUAAAGCGUGCGCAGGCGGUUCGGAAAGAAAGAUGUGAAAUCCCAGAGCUUAACUUUGGAACUGCAUUUUUAACUACCGGGCUAGAGUGUGUCAGAGGGAGGUGGAAUUCCGCGUGUAGCAGUGAAAUGCGUAGAUAUGCGGAGGAACACCGAUGGCGAAGGCAGCCUCCUGGGAUAACACUGACGCUCAUGCACGAAAGCGUGGGGAGCAAACAGGAUUAGAUACCCUGGUAGUCCACGCCCUAAACGAUGUCAACUAGCUGUUGGGGCCUUCGGCCUUGGUAGCGCAGCUAACGCGUGAAGUUGACCGCCU
rnacentral:rRNA from 1 species